UUGGUUUAAAUUAAUGUGAGUCUACAAUUUAAAAAUGGAACCCACAUAAAGUGGUAGGAUAUACAAUGAUUUUAUCUAA
rnacentral:pre_miRNA from 1 species